UACGGAGGGUGCAAGCGUUGUUCGGAAUCAUUGGGCGUAAAGAGCGUGUAGGCGGCCAGGUAGGUCGGUUGUGAAAACUGGAGGCUCAACCUUCAGACGUCGACCGAAACCGUCUGGCUAGAGUCCGGAAGAGGAGUGUGGAAUUCCUGGUGUAGCGGUGAAAUGCGCAGAUAUCAGGAAGAACACCUAUGGCGAAGGCAGCACUCUGGGACGGUACUGACGCUGAGACGCGAAAGCGUGGGGAGCGAACAGG
rnacentral:rRNA from 1 species